rnacentral:rRNA from 1 species
GACGAACGCUGGCGGCGUGCUUAACACAUGCAAGUCGAACGGAAAGGCCCUGCUUUUGUGGGGUGCUCGAGUGGCGAACGGGUGAGUAACACGUGAGUAACCUGCCCUUGACUUUGGGAUAACUUCAGGAAACUGGGGCUAAUACCGGAUAGGAGCUCCUGCUGCAUGGUGGGGGUUGGAAAGUUUCGGCGGUUGGGGAUGGACUCGCGGCUUAUCAGCUUGUUGGUGGGGUAGUGGCUUACCAAGCCUUUGACGGGUAGCCGGCCUGAGAGGGUGACCGGCCACAUUGGGACUGAGAGACGGACCAGACUCGUACGGGAGGCAGCAGUGGGGAAUAUUGCACAAUGGGCGGAAGUCUGAUGCAGCAACGCCGCGUGCGGGAUGACGGCCUUCGGGUUGUAAACCGCUUUCGCCUGUGACGAAGCGUGAGUGACGGUAAUGGGUAAAGAAGCACCGGCUAACUACGUG